rnacentral:rRNA from 1 species
GACAGAGGAGGCAAGCGUUGUCCGGACUUACUGGGCGUAAAGCGUCCGCAGGUGGUCGUGCAAGUGCCGUGUGAAAGCCGGCGGCUUAACUGCCGGAGGCCAUAGCAGACUGCUCGACUCGAGACCGGGAGAGGUCGGUGGAAUUCCGGGUGUAGCGGUGGAAUGCGUAGAGAUCCGGAAGAACACCGGUGGCGAAGGCGGCCUGCUGGGACAUGGCUGACGCUGAGGCGCGACAGCGUGGGGAGCAAACAGG